rnacentral:lncRNA from 1 species
GAGGAGUUGCCGAAGGGUCUUGUGAUUGUGCCGGUGGAGGAGGCGCCGAAGGAUCUUUUGAUUGUGUCCGUGGAGGUGGUGCCGAAAGGUCUUUUGAUUGUGUCGCCGAAGGGUCUUUUGAUUGUGCCGGUGGAGGAGGUGCCGAAGGAUCUUGUGAUUGUGCCGGUGGAGGAGGUACCGAAGGAUCUUUUGAUUGUGCCGGUGGAGGAGGUGCCAAAUGAUCUUUUGAUUGUGCCGGUGGAGGAGGUGCCGAAGGAUCUUGUGAUUGUGCCGAAUGAACUUUUGAUUGUGCCGGUGGAGGAGGUGCCGAAGGAUCUUUUGAUUGUGCUGAAUGAUCUUUUGAUUGUGCCGGUGGAGGAGGUGCCGAAGGAUCUUUUGAUUGUGCUAAAUGAUCUUUUGAUUGUGCCGGUGGAGGAGGUGCCGAAUGAUCUUUUGAUUGUGCUGAAUGAUCUUUUNNNNNNNNNNNNNNNNNNNNNNCUUUUGAUUGUGCCGGUGGAGGAGGUGCCGAAGGAUCUUGCGAUUGUGCCGGUGGUGGAGGUGCCGAAGGAUCUUUUGAUUGUGCCGAAGGAUCUUUUGAUGGUGCCGGU